GUCCAGUGACGAGUGUCAAACUGGACGAAAUGCGCAUCCUGGAU
rnacentral:hammerhead_ribozyme from 1 species